CAAAAUGAAAGUCAUGGUGCUUGGCAAGUAAACCCGCUGAAUUUAAGCAUAUAAGUAGGUGGAGGAAAAGAAACCGAAUGGGAAUCUCUUAGUAAUGGCGAAUGAAAGGAGAUGUGCUUAGUGUCAAAAUCAGAUUACUCUGACUUGUAGGCUGUAGGGGCUUUGCCAACUUGGGUGCAGGUGCAAGUCUCUUGGAAAGGAGCACCAGUGAGGGUCAAGGUCCCGUCUGGCAUCUGUCAUCCCUCGUAGACGGUUUGCCCAUUGAGAGUCGUGUUCUUCUGGAGUAGAGCGCUAAUUGGGUGGUACUCUUUGCCCAAGGAGGAUUACGUGCUUGAGACCAAUAGUGAACAAGUACCAUGAGGGAAGGGUGAAAAGGACUUUGGAAAGAGGGUUAAGAGGGCAUGAAGCUGCUGGAAGGGAAGUGGGAUUGGACUUUUACAUCGCAGUAAGAUUGCAGGCUGUGAUUUCCACUCGUGGGACAUCGCGUGCUGUGUCUCUUGCUGCUCGGUUGGGUUUUGCGUUGUGCCCGAAAUCUCAGCUUUGACUGGAAGAAGGUUUGCGAACUGGACCAUGUCAUUGCCAACUUUUGGCGCAGCAUGCAACCUUGACCAAAAGGUUCAAUUUUACCCGUCUUGAAACACGGACCAAGGAGUCUAUUGCGUGUGCAAGUGUAAGGGCUUCACACCUGACAGCUCAACAAAGGUGACUGCUGGGACCUCUGCACCAGCAACCAACUGAUCGCUUAGGAGAUGUUUGUGUAUGAGCACACUUGCUAGGACCCGAAAGGUGGUGAACUAUGCCUGAGAAGGGUGACGUCAGGGGAAACUCUGAUGGAARCUCGUAGCGCUACUGACGUGCAAAUCGUUCGUCUGACUUGGGUAUAGGGG
rnacentral:rRNA from 1 species